CAAGAGCGUAUGUAAAAGUUGUUGCAGUUAAAAAGCUCGUAGUUGAACCUUGGGUUUGGUUGGCCGGUCCGCUUUUUUGCGAGUACUGGAUUCAACCGAGCCUUUCCUUCUGGCUAACCAGUCGUUUCGGCGGCUGGCGAACCAGGAUUUUUACUUUGAGAAAAUUAGAGUGUUCAAAGCAGGCAUUAGCUUGAAUAUAUUAGCAUGGAAUAAUAGAAUAGGACGUUAUGGUUCUAUUUUGUUGGUUUCUAGGACCACCGUAAUGAUUAAUAGGGACGGUCGGGGGCAUCAGUAUUCAGUUGUCAGAGGUGAAAUUCUUGGAUUUACUGAAGACUAACUACUGCGAAAGCAUUUGCCAAGGACGUUUUCAUUAA
rnacentral:rRNA from 1 species